rnacentral:ncRNA from 1 species
CUUCUUCGGGGCAGGGUGUGAUUCCCUACCGGCGGUACAGCCCGCGAACCGCAUUUGCGGCCGAUCUGGUGUGAUUCCAGAGCCGACAGUAUAGUCUGGAUGAAAGAAGA